rnacentral:rRNA from 1 species
UUGACCUCGAAUCAGGUAGGAAUACCCGCUGAACUUAAGCAUAUCAAUAAGCGGAGGAAAAGAAACCAACAGGGAUUGCCCCAGUAACGGCGAGUGAAGCGGCAACAGCUCAAAUUUGAAAUCUGGCCCCCCGGGGCCCGAGUUGUAAUUUGCAGAGGAUGCUUUUGGCGAGGCGCCUUCCCAGUUCCCUGGAACGGGACGCCAUAGAGGGUGAGAGCCCCGUCUGGUCGGACGCCGAGCCUCUGUAAAGCUCCUUCGACGAGUCGAGUAGUUUGGGAAUGCUGCUCUAAAUGGGAGGUAUAUGUCUUCUAAAGCUAAAUACCGGCCAGAGACCGAUAGCGCACAAGUAGAGUGAUCGAAAGAUGAAAAGCACUUUGAAAAGAGGGUUAAACAGUACGUGAAAUUGUUGAAAGGGAAGCGCCUGUGACCAGACUUGCGCCCGCCGGAUCACCCAGCGUUCUCGCUGGUGCACUCCGGCGGGCACAGGCCAGCAUCAGCUCGUCUCGGGGGACAAAGGCGGCGGGAACGUGGCUCCUCCGGGAGUGUUAUAGCCCGCCGUGCAAUGCCCUGGGGCGGGCUGAGGACCGCGCGUACGCAUGGAUGCUGGCGUAAUGGUCAUCAGCGACCCGUCUUGAAACACGGACCAA